UGGGGAAUCUUCCGCAAUGGACGAAAGUCUGACGGAGCAACGCCGCGUGUAUGAUGAAGGUCUUCGGAUUGUAAAGUACUGUCAUUGGGGAAGAACGGUUUUCUUGAAAAGAUUGAGAAGACAUGACGGUACCCAAGGAGGAAGCCCCGGCUAACUACGUGCCAGCAGCCGCGGUAAUACGUAGGGGGCAAGCGUUGUCCGGAAUUAUUGGGCGUAAAGGGCGCGUAGGCGGGCCUUUAAGUCCGGUGUGAAAGAUCAGGGCUCAACCCUGAGAGUGCAUCGGAAACUGGAGGCCUUGAGGACAGGAGAGGAAAGUGGAAUUCCACGUGUAGCGGUGAAAUGCGUAGAUAUGUGGAGGAACACCAGUGACGAAGGCGACUUUCUGGACUGUAACUGACGCUGAGGCGCGAAAAGCGUGGGGGAGCAAAACAGGAUUAGAUACCCUGGUAGUCCACGCCGUAAACGAUGAGUGCUAGGUGUAGAGGGUAUCGACCCCUUCUGUGCCGCAGUUAACACAAUAAGCACUCCCGCCUGGGGAGUACGGCCGCAAGGUUGAAACUUAAAUGAAUUGACGGGGUCAUAGCGUUUCC
rnacentral:rRNA from 1 species